AUGUAUAAUAUGUAAGAAAUUAGAAUUUUUAAUAGUUUGUUAUUUUCGGAUGAUCAAUCUAUUGAGAUAGGAAACAUGCUUUCUCGUGCACUGAAAGAACACCACGUUCAAAAACAAAGAAUCAGAGAUCAACAAGAGUUGAAGAGAAAAGAAGCAUUUGAAUCUGCAAACGUAGUUGUUGAUAAAUUAGUGAGCACAUUAAAUGAUGGUGUUGAGGAAGUUUAUCAGAAUCAGAAAAAAUUAGAAGCUGAGGCGAAGCAAUUACAAUCACAUGCAGCCCAGUUUUCAAAACAAACAAUUCAAUGGCUUCAGUUAGCUGAAGGUUUUAACCGUGCACUGAAGGAACUAGGAGAUGUUGAAAAUUGGUCCCAGGUUAUUGAAGCUGAAAUGACGACAAUUGCUGGAGCUUUGGAAUACGCCUAUAAAGGGGAUACUCCUGGCUGAUAUUUUCUACAUGUAAAGAUGAGACAAUCAUUCACGGGAGGUAUCACAUCCAUUCUGCUACAUAUAAUGCAAUAUUUCUAAAAUUCUAUCAACAUUGAUAAGAAACCUGGUGCAAAAUGAAGGACACAAAGUCAUAUAUUCAUCAAGAGACUCCAGAAUUUCUACUUUUGGACAACCAGCACAAAAGGACGAAUUUGGAGUAUUUUUGGC